rnacentral:rRNA from 1 species
UACGUAGGUGGCAAGCGUUGUCCGGAUUUACUGGGCGUAAAGAGCGCGCAGGCGGUCGUUCAAGUCGCGUGUGAAAGCCCCCGGCUCAACUGGGGAGGGUCACGCGAUACUGAUCGACUCGAAGGCAGGAGAGGGAAGUGGAAUUCCCGGUGUAGUGGUGAAAUGCGUAGAUAUCGGGAGGAAUACCAGUGGCGAAGGCGGCGACCUGGGCCAAUACUGACGCUGAGGUGCGAAAGCGUGGGGAGCAAACGGGG